rnacentral:rRNA from 1 species
UGCUUAACACAUGCAAGUCGAGCGAUGAAUUUCCUUCGGGAAACGGAUUAGCGGCGGACGGGUGAGUAACACGUGGGUAACCUGCCUCAUAGAGUGGAAUAGCCUUCCGAAAGGAAGAUUAAUACCGCAUAACGUUGAAAGAUGGCAUCAUCAUUCAACCAAAGGAGCAAUCCGCUAUGAGAUGGACCCGCGGCGCAUUAGCUAGUUGGUGGGGUAACGGCCUACCAAGGCGACGAUGCGUAGCCGACCUGAGAGGGUGAUCGGCCACAUUGGGACUGAGACACGGCCCAGACUCCUACGGGAGGCAGCAGUGGGGAAUGUUGCACAAUGGGGGAAACCCUGAUGCAGCAACGCCGCGUGAGUGAUGAAGGUUUUCGGAUCGUAAAGCUCUGUCUUUGGGGAAGAUAAUGACGGUACCCAAGGAGGAAGCCACGGCUAACUACGUGCCAGCAGCCGCGGUAAUACGUAGGUGGCGAGCGUUAUCCGGAUUUACUGGGCGUAAAGGGAGCGUAGGCGGAUGAUUAAGUGGGAUGUGAAAUACCCGGGCUCAACUUGGGUGCUGCAUUCCAAACUGGUUAUCUAGAGUGCAGGAGAGGAGAGUGGAAUUCCUAGUGUAGCGGUGAAAUGCGUAGAGAUUAGGAAGAACACCAGUGGCGAAGGCGACUCUCUGGACUGUAACUGACGCUGAGGC